UUUGAUUUACAGUCUGUGGUACAGACUUCCUUGAAUUUGAAAUUGCAAAUGGGGGAUGAUAUCUUGAUUUUGAUUGUAUCUCCAGUACAUUUUAUAUCGUAAAAGGGUGAAAUCUGAGUAUCCUUUUCAGCAGGGGCAUAAUCUAAAUUUAAUAUGCAAUGCCUGUUUAUUUGUUAACAAAUCAGAUGAACUUUCUACGCAGAAAGUUGGCAAGUCAGAGAAACAGCUGUUCUCCUUAUCACUGAUUUGCUAGCUUUUUGUGCUCAUGAGGAUUUUCCCAUGUAGGGAGUGGAAGCAAUCACUUAUUCCAUCAGUUCAACAUGAUGGAUAGAUUCACAGACUGUUAUGAUUGGAUACUAGACAAACCUUUUAUUCUGAAAAUUUCUCACUAUGUCAAUCACAUCCUACCAUGGAACUUUAGAGCAACAUGGGACAAUAUAUACAGGACUUUUUUAAAAAAAAAAUCUUCAUUUUAACUUGAAACUCAUUUUAUUCAAUCUCGGAUGAGAUUAGACAGUAAAAGAUAGUUCAGCUACAGCUUCUAUGGUUUAUCUUUUUUUCAAAAAGUUCCUUUGCCAAAAUUAGAUAUAGUAAACAAAGACAUACAGGAUGAUGAGAACAGGCUACCUCUGGGGACCUGUGUGCAAUUCACCAACUGGUUGUGCCAGUUUUGAACUGAGUACAUUCUGUUAGAAGCACAGCAAGAGAUAGGCCACACUCCACUAUCUCGUCAUAAUAAAUGACACUUGGAGUUAAUUAUUACUUUGUAAUUCUUUAUUUAAACUUUGUACCAAAAUUCAUUUGCAAUCUAUCCUUUCAUGCAGAACAUGAAAAGAUUUUAUUGUGUGCAGUCUGGGUGUGGCAGGAUCCCAGGUCAAAUACUUUGCUCUGGAGACCUCCUCCAGCUUAUGAAGCAGAUUUGGUUACAUAACACUUGAGAAAUGAUCCUAAAGGAGCUAUACAUUCAAGGAAAAUGAAAAUAUUUAGAUUAUUACAUAUUAUGUGACAUUACUUUUUCCCCAAUUGGGAUAUUCUAUUUCACUGACUGGCCAUGCACCAUCAAGAUGGUGUUGACUCUUAGCAAUAUAGAUUUUCUCCCAGAUGACCUGUCCUUAACCUGGUUUUCCAAGUCUUUCACUGCUGUUAAGUGAACCCAUGCACCAGAUUUGCGCUAUUAUGGAGCAAUCUGAAAUCAAACUAUUGACAAUAGACUUGUAUUCUACAAUUGGAAGGUAACCUAUACCUUUAAUACAUCAGCAGCUUCAGUGUGGAAAGAUUCAUGGAAGAUGCCACCAGAAGCCAUCACUUUAGAGAAAUGUCAGUAUGGAAUAUAGCUGUUUUGGCUGCUGUAGCAUUUUCCACUAUUAAAACUAGGUUGCCAUAAAUAUCAGCAUUAGGAUUCAUAAUGGAAAAGAACAGUCAUGUUCCUCCAGCUUCUCAAGUAUAUUUACUUGAACAUUAUGUAACAGAACACUGGACCUGAUAGACCUUUGCCUUGAUAAAGUACUGUAGUUCUAUUAUGACCAGAAGCUAUAAUGUUCCAAUUUGAUCUUUCAAAAGGAGCUUAAAGAGCUAGAACAGUGGUGGCGAACCUAUGGCACGGGUGCCAGAGGCGGCACUCAGAGCCCUCUCUGUGGACACGUGUGCCGUCACCCCAGUCCUUGGCCU